rnacentral:rRNA from 1 species
AUGGACGGUUCUCUCGAGCUGCUAGAUCUAUGUGGCACCAUGCAAGAGAUCUUUGCCGAGAUGAAGGCCAUCAUACAAGAGCUGCAACUGUCUCUAAGGAAAGGGGAUGAUGCGGCUGCUCAAGCCAGUAUCCAAUCUUACACCAGCUUGGCGAAGAAGGCCAAGAAUCAUUUCAAGAAGACCACGAAGAAGAUUUCGGAAGAUUGCAGGAUGGUCAUGCUCUUGACCAAGGCCAGAGAGAUCUCUGUCUCUCUGCUCGAGUCCACACUCCAUCUCUUGUCGAAGCAAAUUGAAAUGCCUAAACGGUCUCUUGUUUCCAAGGCAUUUCACAGAAGGAAGUCAGUUUUUUGCAAGGAAGAGCAACUGUCAAAGCUACAGUGCAGCAUCAUAGAUCUUGAGAGUGGAGCAGGACAUCUGUUCAGGAAAUUAGUCCAGAGCAGAGUUUCUCUACUCAACAUCCUUAGCUCAUAG